rnacentral:rRNA from 1 species
AUUGAACGCUGGCGGCAGGCCUAACACAUGCAAGUCGAACGAGUGGCGGAAGGGUGAGUAAUGUCUGGGACACUGCCUGAUGGAGGGGGUUAACUAACGGAAACGGUAGCUAAUACCGCAUAGCUUCACAUGGGCCCAGUUGGGAUUAGCUAGUUGGUGGGGUAACGGCUUACCAAGGCGACGAUCUGUACCUGGUCUGAGAGGAUGACCAGCCACACUGGAACUGAGACACGGUCCAGACUCCUACGGGAGGCAGCAGUGGGGAAUAUUGGACAAUGGGCGAAAGCCUGAUGCAGCCAUGCCGCGUGUAUGAAGAAGGUCUUCGGAUUGUAAAGUACUUUCAGCGGGGAGGCGUUACCCGCAGAAGAAGCACCGGCUAACUCCGUGCCAGCAGCCGCGGUAAUAC